AUGACCACCACCACCACCAACACCAACAACACCAUCACCACCAACACCAACACCAACACCAUCACCACCACCACCAACACCAACAACACCAUCACCAUCAACACCAUCACCACCACCAACAACACCAACACCAACAACACCAUGACCACCACCACCAACACCAACAACACCAUCACCAUCAACACCAUAACCACCACCACCAACACCAACACCAACACCAACAACACCAUCACCACCACCACCACCACCAACAACACCAUCACCACCACCACCACCACCAACACCAUCACCACCACCACCACCAACACCAACAACACCAUCACCAUCAACACCACCACCACCAACACCAACAACACCAUCACCACCACCACCACCACCAACACCAACAACACCAUCACCACCACCACCAACACCAACAACACCAUGACCACCAACACCAUCACCACCACUACCACCACCAUCACCAUCAACACCAUCACCACCAUCACCAACACCAACACCAACAACACCAUCACCAUCAACACCAUCACCAUCACCACCACCACCACCACCACCACCAUCAACACCAUCACCACCAACACCAACAACACCAUCACCACCACCACCACCAACAACACCACCAACACCAACAACACCACCACCAUCAACACCACCACCACCAACACCAACAACACCAUCACCACCACCACCACCAUCACCAACAACACCAUCAACACCAUCACCACCACCACCAUCACCACCACCAACAACACCAACACCAACAACAACACCAUCAUCAACACCAACAACACCAUCACCAUCACCACCACCAACACCAACAACACCACCACCAACACCAUCACCAUCAUCACCACCAACAACAACACCACCAUCACCAUCACCACCACCAACAACACCAACAACAACACCAUCACCAUCAACACCACCACCACCACCACCAUCACCACCACCAACAACAACACCAUCACCAUCAACACCAACAACACCACCACCAACACCAUCACCACCACCACCACCAACACCAACAACACCAUCACCACCACCACCAACACCAUCACCAACACCAACAACACCAUCACCAUCAACACCAUCACAACCACCAACAACACCAACAACACCAUGACCACCACCACCACCAUCACCAUCAACACCAUCACCACCACCACCACCAACACCAACAACACCAUCACCAUCACCACCAACACCAUCACCAUCACCACCACCAACACCAACAACACCAUCACCAUCAACACCAUCACCACCACCAACAACACCAACACCAACAACACCAUGACCACCACCACCAACAACACCAUCACCAUCAACACCAUCACCACCACCACCAACACCAACAACACCAUCACCACCACCACCAACACCAACAACACCAUCACCACCACCACCACCACCAACACCAUCACCACCACCACCACCAACACCAACAACACCAUCACCAUCAACACCAUCACCACCAACACCAACAACACCAUCACCACCACCACCAAACCCAACAACACCAUCACCACCACCACCAACACCAACAACACCAUGACCACCAACACCAUCACCACCACUACCACCACCAUCACCAUCAACACCAUCACCACCAUCACCAACACCAACAACACCAUCACCAUCAACACCAUCACCACCACCACCAUCACCAUCAACACCAUCACCACCAUCACCAACACCAACAACACCAUCACCAUCAACACCAUCACCACCACCACCACCACCACCAUCAACACCAUCACCACCAACACCAACAACACCAUCACCACCACCACCACCAACAACACCACCAACACCAACAACACCACCACCACCACCAACACCAACAACACCAUCACCACCACCACCAACACCAACAACACCACCACCAUCACCAUCACCAACACCAACAACACCACCACCAUCAACAUCACCAACACCAUCAUCAACAACACCACCACCAUCACCAUCACCAUCACCAACACCAUCACCAUCACCAACACAAUCACCAUCACCAUCACCAACACCAUCACCAACAACACAACUACCAUCACCAACACCAACACCAACACCACCACCAUCACCAACACAAUCACCAUCACCAACACCAACACCACCACCAUCACCAACACAAUCACCAUCACCAACACCAACACCAACAACACCACCACCAUCACCAACAACACCACCACCAUCACCAACACCAUCACCAACAACACCACCACCACAAUCACCAACACAAUCACCAUCACCAACACCAACACUAUCACCAUCACCAACACCACCACCACCACCACCACCACCAACACCAACAACACCACUAACACCAUCAUCAACACCAACAACACCACCACCAUCACCAUCACCACCAACAACACCAACAACACCAACAACAACAACACCACCACCAACACCAUCACCAUCACCAUCAUCACCACCAACACCAACAACACCACCAACAACACCACCACCAUCACCAACACCAAUACCAUCACCAACACCAACACCACCACCAACACCACCACCAACACCAACACCACCACCAUCACCAACAACACCACCAACACCAUCACCAUCACCAAUACCAUCACCAUCACCAUUAUCACCACCACCAACACCAACAACACCACCAUCACCAACACCAACAACACCACCAACACCAUCACCAACACCAACACCAUCACCAUCACCACCACCACCAACAACACCACCAACACCAUCACCAACACCAUCACCACCACCACCACCAUCACCAACAACACCACCAACACCAUCACUAACACCAUCACCAUCACCAUCACCACCACCACCAUCACCAACAACACCACCAACACCAUCACCAACACCAUCACCAUCACCAUUAUCACCACCACCAACACCAACAACACCACCAUCACCAACACCACCACCAACACCAACACCAUCACCAUCACCAUCACCACCACCACCACCACCAACACCAACAACACCACCAACACCAUCACCAACACCACCACCAUCACCCCCACCACCAACACCAUCAUAACCCUCCACCAACCCUAA
ensembl:lncRNA